rnacentral:rRNA from 1 species
AGUGAACGCUGGCGGUAGGCCUAACACAUGCAAGUCGAACGGCAGCACAGUAAGAGCUUGCUCUUACGGGUGUCGAGUGGCGGACGGGUGAGGAAUACAUCGGAAUCUACUUUUUCGUGGGGGAUAACGUAGGGAAACUUACGCUAAUACCGCAUACGUCCUACGUGUGAAAGCAGUGGAUCUUCGGACCUUGCGCGAUUGAAUGAGCCGAUGUCGGAUUAGCUAGUUGGCGGGGUAAAGGCCCACCAAGGCGACGAUCCGUAGCUGGUCUGAGAGGAUGAUCAGCCACACUGGAACUGAGACACGGUCCAGACUCCUACGGGAGGAAGCAGUGGGGAAUAUUGGACAAUGGGCGCAAGCCUGAUCCAGCAAAACCGCGUGAGUGAAGAAGGACUUAGGGUUGGAAAGCCCUGUUGUUGGGAAAGAAAAGAAGCAGGUUAAUACCCCGCUGUUCUGACGGUACCCAAAGAAUAAGCACCGGCUAACUUCGUG